CUCUUUUGGUAACACUUUAGGGUGUUGUUUUCAUAAUAUUCUUUUCAAAGAAUCCAGUGUUUUAAGUAUUUGAGGACUGUAUGACACAACAAUGUUACUGAGGUGUACUGUAGACUCCAGGCAGAAGCUGCUCCUGAAAGACACUCAGACCUCAAAUAGACUGCAUACUUGUAGUCACAAAACUAUAUUGUAUUAGUCUGUUUUCAUGCUGCUGAUAAAGACAUAGCUGAGACUGGGCCAUUAACAAAGGAAAAAGGUUUAACAGAGAACUCACAGUUCCACGUGAGUGGAAGGGAGGCUGGCCAAGAGAGACUGUGUAGGGGAACUCCUAUUUUUAAAACCGUCAGAUCUCGUGAGACCCAUUCACUAUCACGAGAACAGCACGGGAAAGACCCACGUCAUGAUUCCAUCAUCUCCAACCAGGUCCCUCCCACAACAAGUAGGAAUUAUGGGAGCUACAAGAUGAGAUUUUGGUGGAGACACAAAGCCAAACCAUAUCAUCUAUAAAAAGGCAAACAACAAAAUAUUGAAUCAAGUCCUGAUUUGAAGCAUUGGCUGAUUUCAAGCUACCCAAAUGGCAUCGCUGAAUGUGGAGAUAAGAAGUGAUGUGCAGCAGCACACCAUUAUACAGUAUUUCCAACAUGUAGAUAAAGAAAAC
rnacentral:lncRNA from 1 species